AGGUCCAGUGGGCCUUUUUUAAUACUGUUUUUGUUCUUUUCAUGUAUUCCUUGUGGUAAUUUAAUCAUCUGAUUGCCAUAAGUGAAUGUUUUUCACUCUAAAAUAAUGGUCCAGAUCACUAGUAAUUCUAGAGUGACUAGUAACAAUUGAGUGACUAUAAUGCAUUUUAUGACUAUAUUCAGAGUAAAAAAAGACAACUGCUCUUAUAUGGAUUAGUUAAUCUUAUUAGCUGAAGUGUUCAUGUUCUGCUUAUUUUUCUGCAUUACUUCCAUUAUUCUAAAGUGUUACCCAUUAAUGGAAUAGUUAUUAAUCUUCAAUAUGAAGAGGUGUAAUGAUAACAAAAAUGAACAAAACAACCUGAAUAAAAUUACUUUAUUUGGUGACAUUUAAAAUAAAAGUUAAAAAUGUUUAAAAUGUCUGAACUUAAUGCAUUAGGUUAAACCUGUGAAAGUGUGUGCGUGUGUGUGUGUGUGUGUGUGUGUGUGUGUGUGUACUGUACUUCCUGUUCACGCACUCUGGUGAUCACAAACCUAACGUUGUUUUUUGCUUUAACUUGUUCUCAGUAACUUGUUCUCAAAUACUUAAUGUUGCCACAUCAAGCAAAAUCUGGAUGUUGUAAUCCAUUUAGCCUAUUUAAUUUAAAUCUUGAAAACACCAUCAGGUCAGGCUCUCUGAUUAUUUACAUAUUUAGGCCUUUAUAUUUUGAGCAUGGUAAACCAAAAUGAACUGCUCACCAUAAAAAUAAUUUAAAAAAAACCCCUGUAUAUUAGUCUUGUUUUUGAUCAUCAAAAUGGCAAAAAGCUUGAUUAAAGACUGGACUCAAAUUUCUAUUUCUUCUCUGUUCUAUACUAGAAUAAAACAAUUGGUAAUAAUCUGUAAAAAUUCAUUUAAUUUUUAUUUUUUAUUUUUUUAAGUACAACAAUCAAAGCAUCUCUUUCAAUGAGCAAGAUUCUUAUUUUUGGUACUGUAUCUUGAGUGUUUUACCUUAUUUAAACUGGUGACGCUCAAACCACAACUUUCCACUGACUCUCUAGAUGGUAAUCAUUGAGUGUUUCCGUGGUUGUGCCUUUGAGAGGGAACUUGAUCAGCACUGAUACAAAUAUUAAAGAUCAUCAUAAGAAGCAAUUUGAAAAACUAAAUAAUUAGUGUGUCUGAAGUCAUGAUGUGGAUUAUACACCCUGUAUUCAUUAUUACACUCUGCAUGUUUUUCUUCAAUGUGCUGGCAGAUACGGACACAAGUGAGACUUCAAACACAGAAGUUUGUAAAGUUCUUCAUCCGUUGUUGUACGGUAUCAUCUGUUUCCUCGUUUUCUUGGUUGUCGUUCUCCUGAUUCUUCUCUUUGAAAUAGUCUCCUCGAGGAAACGUGACCUUAGAAAAGACCACACGACCAACGAAACAGGAGAAUCAACCGCUUUGCGUCCGAAUAUUGCAUUAAGUGUUUCCCCUCUUUCAGGUGGAGAUGAUUCAUCCUCUACAAGUUCUGGGACCCCUGAAGGCUCGCUGGCAGAUCUUUCCAGUCUCUCUCAGCGGUAUGUAAGCUUACAAGAGCGUUCCAAGACUUCUGACUACAUAAAUGUUUCAGAGAGUGCUACACCUGGACAAGUGGACUUUAAUAAUAAAAUAAUGGCUGUAGACUAUGUGAAUGUUAAAGAGUCCCGACGGAAGAAGAUCAACAGUAAAGGCCAAGCGAGCUGUGAUGACGGUACUACAAGCGUUAACAGCGAUGCGAGCAAUGAGUCUGCUGUGAAUUACUCCAUGGUUGUCUUUACUAAAACAGAUAAGUAAAAGAUGUGAUUAGCUUUUGUAAAAAAUUGGCUUAAACAAAUCAUUCACCAAGAAAUGAAAAUUCUGUUAUCAUUUAGGCUACUCACCCUCAUGUUGUUCCACAUCUAUGACUUUCUUCUGCAGAACUAUUGCCUAUAUACAGUCAAACCAAAAUUUAUUCAGACACCUUGAACAUUUCAUUCAUUAAUACAGUUUAUUCACUAUAGUUAAAAAAAUAUGAAUAUGAAAAAUAUAAAAUAUGACAGGAUCUCAAAGUUAAAUUGUCAAAUUAUGUCAGAUAACACUUAAGCAAAACAUGGUCAGGUCAAAGUGUCUGAAUCAUUUUUGGUUCCGAAUUCUUAUCAAUUUUACUGGUAGUCUACUGUAUGAAGAAUUUUUGGGUAUAAUAUGUCACAGUUCACUUUAUUUUGCUAUCCUCACUUAUAUAAAUGAACUAUAGUGUCCUGUACCCACUAGUAAAAAUAUAUAAAAAAUAUCUGAAUAAUUUUUUAUUUGACUGUAUAUAAAGUAGUUUCAGUAGUUUUUGCCCAUCAGAAUAAAAAGUCAAUGGGGUCCCAAGUAACAUUGGAUUGACAUUUCAAUUUAUGGGUAAGGAAAUAAAAAUCUUCUUUUGUGUUUCACAGAAGAAAUUAAGUCACACAGGUUUGGAAUAGCAAGAGGGUGAGUAAAUGAUGACAGAAUUUUCAUGUUACAGUUUAAUUGUCCCUUUAACACUGUGUAAAAAGAUGUGCAUGUAUGAAGUUACAAAUGUUCAUAUUUUCAUCACAAAAACACAAAAUUUUAAACACGGUUACAUAAACAUAAUGGAUGGGAGGCAUUUCACUUUUCCAGUGAAUUUUCAGGCGCACAUUUUAGUGCAUUUUUCACAUCAUAAAACACCACAUCCUGACAGGAAGGAACCCGACAUGCGUCUGUGAAAGUCUUACAGUAAUAAAUAACUAGUUUAAAUGUGCAGACAUACAUGAUAACAAACAUGCCCCUUCUUCACUAUUCACACUUGCUUUUCCACCGUCAAAGCAUCAUUUUUCAUUUAGGGCCUGAGGGGAAACUAUAAAAAUCUCACGAUGCAAAAGAAAUGCAUCUCUCUGGAACAUUGUUAUAAAAGGAUAACUUUUAAGUGUAACUUUGAUAUUUCCCAAUACCACCACAUGUUUGCUGAAAUUUGUUAUAUUUGAUAUUUACAGGUUUAAUAUUUGAUAUGCCACAUAUCAAAAUGUCAUGGUGGUGGAUCACAUCAGCUUGCACUGACAGUGUCCAACCACUUGGUGGUAUCAAUGGCUCUGCAUGUGUUGCUAUAUGAAGUAGUAGUCACUAUGAAAACCUAUUUGAAUGUGAGCUUUGUGUAAAGCUGUGAUGUUAUUUUGAAUACAAUAACUAUAUUUAUCUGUGUGUGAACCAAUGCCAGGAGCAUUAUUAUAGGAUGUUAUCAUCCUUCCAAAAAUUUUUUCAGUGAUUUAAACAACCCUAACCACACAUGUGAAUAUCUGAUAAACACAAACCCUCAAAAGAACCCAAAGGACUUUAAAAGUCACCCUCUUUAUUCUGAUAAGACACAGAUGUUUAAAUAAUUAGAGUAGACGUCCAGCUUCCAAGAAACGCUUCUAUUUUGAGUUCGCAUUUGUAUUGAAUUCAUUACAAAAUUAGUUUUGUAUUGGGGCACUCCUUUCAGGUACUGCACAGAGUGAGCCUUUUGUGCAACUGCUUUAAAUUCAGCAGCAACAAUUGUAGCUCAAUGAACUUAAAGUACAUGUCUUUAUGAAUUUUGCUACAGCGUGUUAAACUUCGUGUCAUAGAAGCUUUGCUGCAGACAUUCAUAAACACACUGCCUGCAUGUGGUUCUGUUUAGGGAUUGAAAUAGUUCAUUUCAUAACAGAUGCUGAAGUUGAAGGGCUUUCCAUCUUUAGUGGCAGGGCAACAAAGAAAUGCUAUUGCAUUGCUAACAUCCGACUGAUAAUGGACUUUGAUCUGUCUGCUUUAUUAGGUACUCAGCUGCACAUCAUUUUGUUUUUAGUCGAAGAGAUUGUUCUUAAUACAUUUUUAAUAAAAACUAAACUUUUUUCUUUAUAAAAAUGUCAUUGUCACAUAAUCAAACAUUUAAUUACAAAAAGUGCUUUUCCACAGGCAGUAAAAAAAGAUUGACUGUUGCACAACGUAAACCAAUACAAGAAGGAUUCCAAGCAUUUUUGGCACAUCCAUUGAGGUUUGGCAUGUGAAAUUUGGUGGUUUGGUUAAAUAACAGCGCUCUGUUUUAAAAAAUCUCCACCAGCACAUGCAAGAUCUGUGUUGUAGUCAAAAUCAGCCUUAUUGAGUUGGUGUGGCCCUAAACCUUUUUUCUUUCAUAUUUUUUUUUUUUUCAUUUUGGCUUUUUUCUUUUAAUAUAAACCAUACAAAUGGCUAAUAAUUCCAGUUCUGACAUUUUGCACUAAACAACAGCUUUGCACAAAGAACCUGAAACUCUGUGGUCAUCAAUGCAUUGCUAAUAAGCCAGUGUCAUCGAAUUAAGUUGUAAAACGUGCAGUAUAAACAAUCGAUGAAAGAAAAGGAAAACAAAGACAUAGUUAUAUCAAAUGUUAUAAGAUGUCAUUAAAAUAGCUCUAAUGUUUCAUGCUAAAGGCUUCAGCGUGUCGACAGUAUCACAAUGGCUUCAUGAUCUAAUUCAAUAAAACCUGCUGGUAUGUUGUUAA